rnacentral:lncRNA from 1 species
GGCUGCAUCUGCAGCAUAUGGAAGUUCUCAGGCUAGGGGUUAAAUCGGAGCUGUAGCUUCUGGCCUAUGCCACAGCCACACCAAUGCCAGAUCUGAGCAAUAUCUGCAACCUGCACAGCAGCUCACAGCAACUCCAGAUCCUUAACCUACUGAUCAAGGCCAGGGAUUAAACCCAUGUCCUUAUGGUUACUAGAUAGGUUCAUUACUGCUGAGCCACAAUAUGAAUUCAGUGUAUUGUUAUUUUCUUAUAUUGUCCUUGUCCAUCUUUGGUAUCAGGUUAAUGAUGGUCUUAUAAAAUGAGUUUGGCAGCUCCCUUCCUGUUGUUUUGGAUGUUUGAGAAGAAUUGGCAUUAGAUCUUUCAAAAAUAUUUGGUAAUAUUGCUUGUGAAAACAUCUGGUCUUGGGCCUUCCUUUGUAGGGGGAUUUUUGAUUGCUGAAUCAAUCUUAUUCAUUGUUGGUUUGUUCAGAUUUUUGUUUCUUCAUAAUUCAGUGUUAGUAAGAUGCAUGUUUGUAAAAAUGUAUCCAUUUCUUCUAGGUGAUCCAAUUUGUUGAUGUACAACUGUUUAUAGUAAUCUCUGUGGAGUAUAGUAUACUAUGCAAUAGUAUAGUAUUUCUGCGGUUUCAGUUACAAUAUUUCCUUUUUUUGUUUAUGAUUUUAUUUAUUUGAGUUGUCUGUCUUUUAUUUUGGUUAUUCUAUGUACAAGUUGGUCAAUUUCAUUUAUAUUCUCCAAUAGACCACUCAGUUUUGUUUAUAUUUUCUAUUGUUUUUCUAGUUAGUAUUUCAUUUAUUAUUGUUCUAAUUUUUAGUAUUGUCUUGCUUCUGUAAACCUUAAGCUUAGUUUAUUUUUCUUUUCUUAGUUACUUGAAAUAUAAAUUUAGCUUGCUUAUUUGAGAUAUCUUUUCUUAAGGCAGAUUUUUAUUAAAAUAAAUUUCUCUCUUAGAACUGUUUUGUUUUUAUUUUUAUUCAUCUAAGGUGUUUAUUGAUUUCUAUUUUGAUUUUUUUCUUUACCUACUGGUUGUCUAAGAGUGUGUUGCUUAAUUUCCACACAUUUGUGAAUUUUCUAGUUAUCCUUCUGUUAUUGAUUUCUAGUUUCAUAGCAUUUUGGUUAGAAAGGUACUUGAUGAAAAUUUCAAGCUUCUUAAUUUGUUGUGGCCCUAUCUCUUCUGGAGAAUGUUUCAUGUGCACUUGAGAAGAAUAUGUAUUCUGCUGCUGUUAGCAUUUGUAUCUGUUUUGUCCAUUUGGUCUAUAGUAUAAUUGAAUAUAAUUUUUCUUGUUUAUUAUUUUUAUUUUCCGUCUAGAUAUAGGAAAUCCAAAGUCUAGGUGUACUUUCCAUUGCUGAGGGUAAGUAUUAAAUCCCUUACUUUUGUCUUUUUUGUUGUUAUGGUUGUCUUUCUUUUUGGCUGUGCCUGUGGUAUGUAGAAGUUCCCAGGCCAGGGAUCAAUGUGCCAAUGACCCAAGCCAAUGCAGUGACAAUGCUGGAUCCUUAACCCACUGUGCCACAAGGGAACUCUCUUUCUCUCUCUCUCUUUUUUUCUUUUCAAUUCUGUUAAUAUUUAGGUGCUUCAAUGUUGGACGUAUAUAUUUACAAUUGUUACAGCCUCUUGAUGAAUCGACUCCUUUAUUAUUUUAUAAUGACCUACUUUGUCUCUUUGAUAGUGUUUGAUUUAAAGUUUAUUUUGUAUAAGUAUAGGCACUGGUUCUCUCUUGGGGGUUACCAUUUGCAUAAAAUAUCUUUUUCUAUCCCUUGACUUUUUUUUUUGCUUUUUUUGCUUUUUAAGGCUGCACCCAUGGCAUAUGGAGGUUCUCAGGCUAGGGGUCAAAUUAGAGCUACAGCUGCCAGCUUACACCACAGCCACAGCCACAGCAAUGUGGGAUCCAAGCCUCGUCUGUGACCUACACCACAGCUCACAGCAAUGCCAGAUUCUUAACCCACUGAGCAAUGCCAGGGAUUGAAUCUGCAACCUCAUGGUUCCUAGUCAGAUUCGUUUCUGCUGCUCCAUGAUGGGAACUCCCAUCCCUUCACUUUCAACUUAUGUGUGUCCUUAAACUAAAAUGAAGGCAGCAUAUUAGUAGAUUUUUUUUCUUUUGUACAUUCAGCCAGUCUGUCUUUUGAUUGGGGAUUUAAUCCAUUAAUAUUUAAAGUAACUAUUACAGAUAAGAACCUACUAUUGUGAUUUAAAAAUUAUUUUUUUUAAUGUUUGUAGUUCUUUUCUUCCUCUCUCGAUGUCUUCCUUUGUGAUUUGAUAGUUUCCUGUAGUGGUAUGUUUUGAUUAUAUUCUUAUUAUGUGGUUUGUAUCUACCAUAAGAUUUUUGUUUUGUGGUUACAAAGAAGCUUACCUAAAACACCUUAUAGUUAAAACAGUCAAUUUUAAGCUAUAACAACUUAACUUCAAUUGCAUUAAAAACUGCACUUUUACUUCUAUUUUAUAUUGCUUUACAAUUUACCCCUUUUUGUAUUGUGUAUCCAUUAACAAAUUAUUAUAUCCUUGGUUACUUUUAAUAGUUUUGUUUUUAGAUUUUUUUCCCUAAAGUUAAAAUAGUUUAUGAACUACCAUUACAGUGUUAAGGUAUUUUGAAUUUGACUAUCUAUAUGCAUUUACCAGUGAAUUUAAUAUUUUCAAAUGUUGUUAUGUUACUAACAACAUCCUUUCAUUUCAACUUGAAAAACUUCAUUUAAUUUUCCUUGUGAAGCAGGUUUAGUGGUGACGAGUAUUUCAGCUUUUUUUUUUUUUCCUUUGGUUUUCAAAUUAUUUCUUUUUCCUUCAUUUUUAAGUAUAGUUUUGCCAAAUAUAGUAUUCUUGGUUGGCUGUUAUUUUUCUUUCAGU